rnacentral:rRNA from 1 species
AGUCACUGACAUUAGAUACCCCUGUAGUCCCAGCCGUAAACUAUGCGCGUUAGGUGUACUGGUGACCACGAGUCGACCGGGGUGCCGAAGGGAAACCGUGAAACGUGCCGCCGUGGGAAGUACGGUCGCAAGGCUAGAAACUUAAAGGAAUUGGCGGGGGAGCACCGCAACGGGAGGAGCGUGCGGUUUAAUUGGAUUCAAUACCGUAAAACUCACCAGGGAAGACUGUUACAUGAAGGCCGAGAUGAAGACUCUGCUAGAUUUUCAG